AAUAAAAGCUGAAUUGGCGUUUCUCUCUGUCUGCCCUCAGGCUGCCAUCCGUAAAGAGCUCAACGAAUUCAAGAGCUCCGAGAUGGAGGUUCACGAAGAAAGCAGGAUCUACACCCGGUUUCAUCGGCCUUAGCUGCUAAUGCUAGCCAGUAAAGCACUUAGACGGAGGAG